UUCCUUUUGUUGCAAUGUAAUGCUAUUUUAAUUUAUGUAUUUUCAGUCUAAUGGAGAACUUAUUGUAAAUGAUGGAUUACCUACUACCUAUAUAGUAUGUGCUCUCUCCGUUACUUAUUACUAUAUAUUCCAAUUUAACUUGUCACAUAUUUUAUGAAAUUAAUGAAAAAAAAACAUCAAAUGUUAGUGGAAUAUAAGUUAUAUUUUGUUACAAUUAGUUUUAUUAUAAAAUAAAAGAUAAAUAAAUUAAUGAAAUAUGAGAUCUAACUAUUCAAAUAAUAGCAAUGAAAUGAGUGUGUCUAUGCAUAAAUUAACUUAUUUUAUGUGCGUAAAAAGGUUUUUUUUUAGACUGAGCCUUAUAAGUGGAAUAUAAGUUCUAUUUUAUGAAAUUAAAGAUUUAAAAAAAAAACAGUAAACUGAAUAUAAGUUCUAUUUUAUUACUAUUUGUUUUAUUACAAAAUGAAAGAUGAAACGAAUUAAUUAAAUAUGAGACCUAACUAUUCAAAUACUAAUAACAAUGAAAUGAGUGUGUCUGCAUAAAUUAACUCACUUUAUGUGCGUAAAAAGUUUUCUUCUUUUUUUAAACUGAGCCUUAUAAUGGGACAAUCCAAUGAGGUAUAAAUCAUUGACAUGUCAACAUUAUCUUUGUGAUAUAGCCAAAAGAAAUUAUUGGGUUUUUAAUUUUACAAUAGUCAAUAGAUAGCUUAGUUCAAUAAUUUACCUACGUACACAAAUUAUUUUUAUACGGUUGUUACAAAUAUUUUAUUUUUAUAAAUCCUAGUAGUAGUAUGUUAUUAGUAGAUAUUGUCGGACGCUUACAUUUUCAAAUUACAUUAAUUAAUUAAAAAUAACACGUCCUAGUUCCUAAAUAUUAAAACGUUGAAGAAAAUGACAUACUUGUGACAUACUACUAAUAUUUUUAUGUCACGUACUAAUUUGGUUAACGAAUGAAAUUAACCGACACUUGUUUAAUCUAAAAUUUAAUGUUUGAUUUUCUGUGAUUUCACGGGAUAUGUAGGUCAGUGGAAAGUUGGUGUAUAAAUAUAUUUUUUAAUCCGAAAAAUUUAUAUACUACUACUACUACAAAGUAUCAGCAUAUACUCCUCAGCCCCAAAGUUUGUCCUAAUUUGAUUUGGCACAAAUUUUAAAAAAUUGUUUUACUUUAUGUAUUAAAUUAGGGGUAUAGUCUAAUAAGGGUCCCACGUUAAAAAGAUUGAGGGGUAUUUAAUGUCAGUUUUUUGAAAAAUUUAAGUGGAAUAAAUUUUGUCGACGGACAACAAUGAUAAGAAUAGUAAGUAAUUUAAUUUAGGUAAAUUGCUUCAAAAGUCGUCAACUUUGCAAAUAGUUUGGUAUUUCUCGUAAACUUUAAAAGUUGCAUGAAAAGCCAUGAACUUUACCAGGUGUUGCAAAUUUCCCGUACGACCCGACCCGAUAAAUUUCCGGCAAAAACUAAUCCUACGUGGCUCACCGGAGGCGUGACAUGGCAAAUCUCCGGCAGAACAAUAAAACGACGUUUUUUUUUAGUUUCAAUUAAAUUAAAAUGCAUAUCAAUUUAGGGUUUAUGUCUCUUCUCUCUGUGACAGAAAUCUCAAUUCCCGUCGAGAUUUCAACUCUUUCUUCUCUAUUGCGACAUGUAACUGGUCACGAUUCGUCAAUCUACAGUCCCAUCGUGUUUCCUCCAUAUAGGUAGGGUUCAACUCUUUCUUCUCCAUUGCAGGAAUACCCGACACGGGAAAUCGGCACCCAAAUGUAAAGUUCAUGACUUUUCAUGCAACUUUUAAAGUUUAUGGGAAAUACCAAACUAUUUGCAAAGUUGACGACUUUUGAAGCAAUUUACCCUUUAAUUUAAAAUGUUAGAAAAAUAAGUCCAAUAACCAAAUUUAAAUGUUUGCUUUAAGCGGCCCAUUUAAGGCCCAUAUAUUACAACUUCUCAAAGCCCAAUCCACAAAGAGAAUCGCGCUUCAGCCAGCGUACAAACAAUGCUGCGAAAAGUACUCUCCCCGCUCUCAAAUUUAACGGCGGCCGUUAACCUCUUCUUCCGCCGGUGCACCGACUCCGCUUCCUACUCCAGUAAUCGACGGUUCUUCUCCGACUCGCCGUCACAAACCAUAUCCACCGAGUUGCCGCGAGUCGACUCAGUGGUAUGCGGCUGCGACUACAAGCACUGGCUCGUGGUCAUGCAACCACCUGAUAACUACCCUCAAAGAGAAGAAAUCAUUGAGCAAUUCGUCGCCACUUUGGCUAUAGCUCUUGGGAGUGAGAAGGCGGCGAAGGAAUCUAUAUACUCUGUUUCUACAAGGUAUUACUAUGCAUUCAGCUGCAAAGUGGAAGAAAAUGUGGCUCACAAGAUCAAAUGCCUUCCUCGUGUGAAGUGGGUUCUGCCGGAUUCAUACUUGGUUGAUGACGAAGAUGGCUAUGGAGCUCAUAAAAUGCUGGUUCUAGAAGUAGUGUACACUGCCUGCGAAAUUUUAUGUUUCGCCCCUCCUUAAACGUUGAGAAGCUCAUAUGCUCGUCUCGUGGCAAUAUGCCUUGGGCAUUUUACAGUUUAGUUUCUUUCUGAGGUGCUACCGAGUGCAAUUGGGGAACCGUUUCUUGAUGGAAAGGUUGUUCCUUACGAAGAAAAAUAUCAUGCUGACUGGGUCCGUGAUGCCUAUGGUGGGGAAGGUAAUGGAAAGAACUCGUUCGAGGAAGCCAUGAAGGACGAGAAGAAGUUUGACAAAU